rnacentral:rRNA from 1 species
AAUGAACGCUGGCGGCGCGCCUAAUACAUGCAAGUCGAGCGAGAAGACGUAGCAAUACGUUUGUAAAGCGGCGAACGGGUGCGUAACACGUGAGGAACUUGUCCCGGUCUCUGGGAUAACAGUUGGAAACGACUGCUAAUACCGGAUGACGUCGGAGCAUCGCAUGGUGCGCUGACGAAAGGGUUACUGGAUCGGGAGAGCCUCGCGGCCUAUCAGCUUGUUGGUGGGGUAACGGCCCACCAAGGCAUCGACGGGUAGCUGGUCUGAGAGGAUGAUCAGCCACACUGGGACUGAGACACGGCCCAGACUCCUACGGGAGGCAGCAGUGGGGAAUCUUGCGCAAUGGGCGAAAGCCUGACGCAGCAACGCCGCGUGCGGGAU